rnacentral:rRNA from 1 species
GUCCACGCCCUAAACGAUGUCAACUGGAUGUUGGAGGGUUAACCUUUAGUGUCGUAGCUAACGCGAGAAGUUGACCGCCUGGGGAGUACGGCCGCAAGGCUAAAACUCAAAGGAAUUGACGGGGACCCGCACAAGCGGUGGAUGAUGUGGAUUAAUUCGAUGCAACGCGAAAACCUUACCUACCCUUGACAUGUCAGGAAUCCUGGAGAGAUCUGGGAGUGCUCGAAAGAGAGCCUGAACACAGGUGCUGCAUGGCUGUCGU